rnacentral:rRNA from 1 species
AUGGCUUAAAAACGAGCCUCGAGACGGCGAUGACGUCGCGACAAGUGGUGGUUAAGAGGCCUUCGAGCCUUAGAGCUUUGCGAGUUGCGCGUCUGCCGAUCCUUCUCGUGCCCAAAAGUAACCCGAGCGGUGCGUCCCCGACGCUGCCAGCAUCGCGACCCCAGGUCAGGCGGGACUACCCGUAUUU